rnacentral:misc_RNA from 1 species
CACCUACCUGUGACUUCUCUCUCUAUGCGGGCAUGCCUUCAGCUUCCGGCUUCCGGCCAACCUCCAUGCGUGUUAUGAAGUACUUCCCUCUUCCCUUCCCAUCGCUCUCCACCCUCCUCCAUCCGUGCGAGGCAAAGCGAGACUGUCGGCAGCUUUGGCAAUGGUGCACAGUCGGAUAAUUAAAAUUCGUGGCUUCUAAGCGACAAGAUGAGCACGGCAUGCAUUGACGACCUUCCUGAAGUUGUGCUGGAGUACAUAUUCUGCUACCUUUCGCCAUACAGAGACUUCAAGUCGUGCAGACUAGUCAACAAAGCUUGGUACGCUCACGCCAAAGCGGCAGAACGCAAGCUACGCAGGGACUUCCUAAAUUCUGUGUCACUCCAAAAUGUUGUCUGGUGCCAAAAGCCAACAGAGUCGGGGCCCACCAUUUCGAAGCGCUACUCGCAUAGCGCCUGUGUGCUCGGGGACUCGAUGUACGUUUUCGGUGGUUGUACGAUAGCGAAUACAACUUUCAACGACCUUUGGCGCCUUGACCUGGCUACCCGGAGGUGGAUUCGGCCUCUGACAAUGGGUACCUACCCUCCACCCAAAGCAUGUGCGUCCCUUGUGCCGUACAAGGAAAACCUGCUACUUUUCGGGGGUUGGACACAUACAUCUCCAUACCCGUUACAUCAGGCUUGGCGCAUCUUCCGCCACCUGCACGUCUACAACUGCAGUGCCAACCGGUGGACCCAGGUGAGCACAGUCGGUGGCUGUCCAUCCAUGGCAGGCCACUCAGCCACCAUGCAAGGCCACCUCAUGGUGGUCUUUGGCGGUUUGCACUGCGCCAACCCGGUUGGGCCGUUUUCCAGUUCCAACGACAUCUGGGUCCUGGACCUACAGAGUUACGUGUGGAGCAAGCAAAGGACAACUUCACCAAAGCCAUGGCCUCGUUAUGGCCAUUCACAAAUUACUUUGGACGAAAAACACAUUCUUGUGGUUGGAGGCUGCGGGGGCCCUAACAUGCUUUUGAAUGAUGUCUGGUUGUUGGAAAUUUUUGACGACCCCGAAAAGCCAUGGAGCUGGAAGGAAGUCACGGUGACGAACAAGGAGCAUGCGGCACCACAGCUCUCGUUUCAUCCUGCAUGCAAGGUCGGUGAUCGGGUAGUUGUGCUGAGCAAAUCACAGCGAGCGUAUGCCUCACCUUCUGGGUUGCACCCUGCCGGAUUGAUGCGAGUGCGGCAAGCGCAACGUGUGUGGGUGCCUCCGAUUGAACAGCCAGCCAGGCCUCCGCCGUGUGAUAAUCAGCGGGAUGCAUGUGUCAACGGAACCCGAGGUGUUCUAAAGAGGCCUCUCGAGUCACCGCCUUCAUCAUCUUCCUCCACAUCUACCUCGACUACACUUAGCCAGCCCUCCACACCGCAGCAGAGCCCACCAGAUUUUGCUCUUCCCGGCUCAUCUACAGCCAGCAGUUCAAGCUGCGAUGAAGAAGACGAGACGAGUGACGACGUGGCACGGAGGUUGUCCUCUAAGAAGACGGCCAUGUCCACAGUUGGCAGUGCUCGCCCAUCAGUGCGCCCCAAUGCCCGGCACAAUCGGCAGAGGCAGCUAGAGCUACUCGACCGUAUGGAGCAGAGGCUCAAGGCCCUUAGAGCUGGAGGGGCAUCGUCUGUGCCAGUGCGUAGGCGGCCAUCCUUGCCCGUGUGCCCCAUGCGGCUCUACGUGCUGGACGUCAGUCAGGUGGCUCAGGCAGGCAAGGCAUCGUGGUUGCCGCUGCUGCCACAGGCAGCUGCGACCAGCACUUCCUCCAUGGUCGAAGAAGUGAUCCUGUACUCGCUGGUGCUGGGACGCGGGGAGUUGAUCCUCUUUGGCGGCAUCCAGAAAGACCUCGUCAACAAGCAGGAGGACACCGACGGCACUUCCGAGGUCGUCUCGAGCUCUCUGCACUUCAUCACAUCCAAGAGGGACGUCAUAUGAGUGCUUCACAUGCCCCUCCUCCCGCCGGGGUGGCUCCAACGAUGCUCGUUUUGUCGUUUUGCUUGCACGUGCAGUUUUUUGUUGGGAGUUACCGGCACGUUCCUUCUUGUCCCGGUCGUCAGCCAACCAAGCGGUGUGCUGCGUGCGUUCACAGUUUUCUGUUUCCCGGGAACGCUCGCAGCUCCGUAUUUUGGAGAGGGAGCCGAAAAGCAGAUGUGAUUUUUUUUUGUUGUUGUUACGUGUGCACUGUCGAUAAAGGUAACAUUGUACAGUGUCAAGCUUUUAUUGGGCUCUCCGCGGAGCCCUGCUUGCCGCGUCAAGUGAGAACGAAAGCAACCAUCGCGAAGACACUGCCGCAUGCAUGCCAAGAAAUUUCUUGUGCAGAGUUCUCAGGCUCCGAAAUAUCUUUAAGAAGGUGUUCACGAGGAAGAAAAAAAAAAAGUUUUUGGGACAGCAUGAGAGCAAAGUGCACGAAAGAAAGAUGUGGCUGAUAGAAGUUGACUUGUAGUUUUGUUGUGUCCCUUUGAUGUGUUCCUUUUCUCUUCCAACUUUUUAAACCAGAUAUGAAAGAUGCAAUCUUUUUCAAGUGCUAUCUAACUAUUGUGGAUAACACGUUGUAGAAGAAUGUAUAUGUAGAUGCAAAUGUGUGAGGAGUCAAAAUAACCAAAGCCACGAUCUGGGCUACCAGGUGCAGCUUAAACAAAAGCACCAGUGAAGUGUUGAACACCGCGUAACACCCUGUGCUGUGAUUCAGUGCGAAUGUGUCGUUUUAAAUGCACCUCUGGUUUGCAAUGUGCUUUUAUGUUUCUAACUUGUUACUAAGCUGAUACGCACAAUGUUAUAAUGUGUGAUGCUUCAAGAUGCUUGUGCAGGCAUUGAAGCCUGUCAUCAAGGCAGCUACAGAUAUGUGAAAUGCCAGUGUAAUGUGUUUGAAUGAAUAUUUAGCUUCAGUGAUGAAGCCAUCGAUUGAGUCUUUUGCUCAGGUUUAGACACAGACUUCAGGGUCUACGAGAUGCGCUACUCAAUGUUGACACCUAGCUCUUCCAUGUAAACACACAAGGUGCUUUUUGCGGCAGUUUUUCACGCUUCCUUCGCAUAACACCAGUUGUACAGCGCAUGCCAUGCAACAUUGAACUAUAUGUAAAAUUAGCUCCCCCUCACUGCAUAUUUGUUUUCUAUCUUGCUAAAAAAUCAACUGGCGUAAAUGCACCAUGCUGUGAUUUUGGAGAUCUUGCUAAUCCUUUCUUGGGCUGGCUAAUUUUGUUCAUUUAAAAAAGAAAUUGCGUUGCUUUUAGUGUUGAAGGUACAGUUAAACCUUGAUGUAAUGAACUUCAAUGCAAUGAAAUCGUCAGUGUGACAUUGUUUUGCUUUACAUGACCUACUGUCCACAGUGUACAUAUCUCAGUAAAGGUAUGUUUACCCACAGUUUAAAUGUAACAAUGUUUUCCCACUGUUGCAAGGGAAUACAGGGGCACUGCGUGGACAUUGUGUUGUGGGAGCUUUUGGAGCCCUGGUUUACUGAAAGUUACUUCCGUUACCCGCUCAAUGCUUUAUUUUCAUCACAUAGCCCAAAGCUGUGUGAUGGAAAUAAAGCUGCUGGUGUUCCUAUGUUUACAGUACUAUGUAUAUGUAUGAAACACAGUCUGUUUGUGAUCUGUGCACAUUCAGGACAGUGUGUAGUGGAGGCGCCUGCAGAGAGCUGUGUACUUGCAUUGUAUGUACGCUCUCAACACUGAUGUACACAGGGGAAGCACAACAGGGUUAGCUAUGAAGCAAAUGAAUAAAUAUUUCGUGUAGGUGCUGAGGUUCGAUAGUUUGAGAAUGAGGCUCGAACACUCAGCUGCUGAAACAACCAAGACAGAUGAGUUCAUACUGAAAUAGGAGAUGAAAGAGUGUGCUACAGUAUUGACAAUUAUCUGUGCGAUUCAGCCACAUAUACUAUUGCCUUAAGUAUACGUGUGUGAGCUGAGCAAAAGCGGAAAUUUUGAUAAUUUCUUUUUGAAGUGGCAGCUAGCAGAUUAUUUUGUACCUUAGUUGUGAUUAUCAGGUUGUUGCAUUGAUGUGAUGGGAAUGUUAAUGUAAAACAGCUAUCCAGAACACAGGUGUGCUGUGUUUAUGUGUUGCACUAACUUGUUUUCUUGCCAAGACCUUUUAUUAUUGAUGUCAAACACUAAUUUGUUGUUGUAGUCACUGAAAAAUAGUAACUGCUUAUAGUAUUUUAAUAUUGGCCGCCGCGUUAGUACAGUGGUAUCGGCGCUCAACACCCAAAAGUUGUGGGUUCCAUACCGGCCGCUGCAGUGUCACAUUUUGAUGGAGGUGAAAUGCUAGAUGCCCAUGUACUUAGUUUAGGUUCAUAUAAAGAGCCCCAGCUGGUUGAAAUUGCCGGAGACCUCCACUAUGGUGUGACUCAUAAUCAUAUUGCAUAUCGUGGCUUUGGCACGUAAAAUGCCAGAUGUUAUUGCUAUUAGUAAAGUUGGUGUCACGGCGAAAUGAGUAGUGCACGAAACAUGGUCUCAUCUUAAAUUAUUGUUACAGAUGUAAGACUGGAACGUCAUCCACACUUUUCACCACGAAGUGUUUCAAAAUGCUACUAAACACAGUACAUGUAAUGUGGAUUCUGUUAAUUAUCCAUUUUUGUUCCAAGGCUUUCUUGUACGUUGCAUUGAGGAGUAGUUCUUUCUCCAUACAUGUUCCAUCACAUCUGGCCAUGUGCCGUGUCUGUUAAACAUCUGUAACCGAACUAACAUCGCACGUGCUGUAUUACUUCAUGCCGAAAGUGACGCCAGAGCUUUAGAUCAGUUACGAUUGUUUGCAGAACAUUAUAAACAAAUGUGGUGCUUGUUGUUAGACUUUACUUGGAACACGAAACAGUGGCUGCCAGCUAAGACGUCUUUCCUUUACUGCUCUCCCCGAAAUUCACUGCCAGUAGCAUUAGGUGGAGUUUAUUGACGAGAUGAAAUGUUAGUGCUCAUCAAUUUUGUUGACUCGGGAGACGAGAUUUCAAGCAUGUGGUACGUAGUUCAGUUACGUUGAACGGGCAGUGAAGCGCUGUGGAAAUGAGGGGAGUUUUAUGAUAAAAGUAAGAACAGACCAAGAAACUGGGACAAACACUGAAGGACACCCGACGCUUGGUGUGCCGUUCUUUGUAUGUCCCUGUUUCUUGUGCUGUUCAUAUUUUUAACGUGGAUGACCAUCACGCCUAAGUCUCCGCCUUUCAUAGUUUUAUGAGAGCAAAUAUCUUUCGUCCACCAGAACUUACUAGCAUGAUGCUACAUGAGCAAUCCGAAUGGGCUCCUGUGUCCUAUGUGAGGGAAGCUUUCCAGUUGAAAAAGAAUGCAAUUUGGUCUGGAGAUUGAAUCCCAUACCGCUGCCCUUCUGAAGCAAUCAUCAUGGCAGCUCUACUCUCCAAGAAGCUAGCAGAUGGUAGGGUGACAGUGAAUCGACAGCUCUGGAUGUGCAGGCACAUUAAAGAAGCAACUGCACUCUUUGGAAAUGCUCAAUGUUUAAUUAAAACUUUUUGUGGAAGCAGAACCGACAUCCGCCCAGAAUUAGCACGCCUGAAAUUAGCACCUUACUGCCUAGCAGUGUUCGUAUGUUAGCUGGAAAGUCACUUAAAUUAGUUACUUUUUAGUAACCUUAACUACAACUUUACUUUUUUAUGGAGUGUUUGUGACUUUUCAUACUAUUUUUAGUGCAGUAAAUAGCCAAUAAUGUUUCUCCAUGAGAUUCUUUGCAAACAUUUGGCUAAGCCUAAUGCAUUGGCCUCCUUUUUAUUCCUAAGGGAAAAUAUGUGUCACUACUAAAGACAUACGAGGCACUUAUUUGCAGAUCAUUUGGUUUGUGAAACCUUUAUUCUUUCUAGGCAAGCAGCAAUCUUGAGACUCAGCCCUGCUUUAGAAAGUCGUGAGAUAAUAAACCACUGAAUCACCACUGAUGGAAACAAUUCAAAGGUUCAGUUUUUUUUAAUAUUAAGACAAACUUCUAGAAACAAUUAAGGUGUAGAAGCAAGAAUAGGUCCAAGCAAGUUGUUGCCACUCAGCCAGUUUCCACUAAAGAUGGGAGUGUUUUGGCCUGUAACCUGAUGAAUUUGUCUAAAACAAAGUUACAAACACUGCUGAAUAGCAACAGAGUAUCUGCAGCGGCCUUUGUAGACAAUGGAUAAUGAUACCUUUCAGAAUUACAGAUAGGUGGGCAAGUUGGUUUGGGUUCAUAGUGAUGGAAAGGCAGCGCUAGAACGAACACGAAAGGGACGAGAAGAAGAAGAUGGUUGUGAGUACAGCGCAUGUCCAGUCUUCUUAUCGUUAGUUUUGUAUUCAUUCUAGCACUGCCUUUCCAUCAUUAUGAAUCAGCCCCAUUUCAUCCUCCAGACAGUCGCCUCUGGACUAAACUUUCUCAGGAAUUAAAGUUCCUUUUGUUUUCCCCCUAAUUAUUGUGCCUGCCUACGACCUCCACAAAAUGUCGCAGGCUGUUUGUUGUGCCAGGUUCUAAAAUUGCUGGAGUGGUGGCUUGAUACCAAGAUUGGCUUCGAAGAAGAGCCCCGCCAGCUGAAGUUCAUUCGCAGCUCAACUGUACACUCAAACCUCAUUAUAACAAAGUCGCAUCUGCCACGAAAAUAACUUCGUUAUAUCCGAAAAUUCGUUAUAAACGUUUAUUUUUAACACUGUAGCUAUGGCAGGACUAUUCUUCAUUUACUUCGUUAUAACCGAUAAUUCGUUAUAUCCGUGUUCGUUAUAACGAGGUUUGAGUGUACUUGCUUUUUGACUGCAAGGCCUAGGAGGAUUGAAGAAAGUGAAAACUUGUUGUUUGUGCCCAAAAUAUUACUUGUGUCUUAUCUUUUGGCUAAGUAUUGAUGCGAUUUUCCAGAAUAUUGCCGAGACAUUAAAGUUUCAACCUAAAGCCAAUCGUGAGGCAGUGGAACUCCAGCUUCACUUUUUCGUCAUCUCCACUCUACCAAACUAGCACAUUGUUGCUAGUACGCAUAUUGUCUUGGUUGAAGGGCAACGCGCUAAACUGGCUAACGAAUAACACCAUUGUAGUAUAGCACGUUGUUGGGCUAGUUGGUGCAUUGCCAUUAAAGAAAUAUAUAUCCAGGCAAAAACGGGCAAAUGUAGUAAACGGUAAAGAAGACGGGGAAAGCUGCUAGCUGCUUUUCUGUCUUCACAGUUUCACGUGUUCGCUUUUGGCUGAAUAUAUAUUUCCUUAAUGGAAUAAUGGUACAUGUAGUUUUUUUUUUUCCAAAGACAUACAAGACUUGCAAGUUAUUGUUGGUUGACAUACUGUGUGUGCGUUAGAUUAGCCCUCUGGGUAUCAUGUCUAAAACUUUCCACGUUUCUACUAUCUUCUAGAUAUUGUGUACAGACUCCUGGAAUGUUUGUGUCAUAAUCUAACAAAACUUUGUCAUUUUUUUCAUGGCUGCCUCUUGUACAUUUGUCUUCUAAAAUGUUUUUGCCACCUCUGGAUUGUACUUUUGCAGCAUAACAGGAAAUAUUUUCUUAAAGACUGCUUACAUGCUUUCAAUUGCUAUGUUGCACCAUGAGCAAUCAAUCCGUGAAAAAAAAAGGUCAUUGUUCUUGUGUAUGCUCAUUGCUUUUCCAUCAGAAAGCACCGAGCAUGUAUGGCAUAACGUCUAGCAUAAGUACGGCUGAAAAGCUGCAAAAUUUUUGGAGUGUGUGACCAGGCUGGUGCGCAUGCAGUUCUUGAACUCUUGACGUGGCAGAAAGGAAAAAUAUAGGAGGAAGCUCUUCAAGUUAGUUGGCUCUCGCUAGCCAACUUCCUUCGAUACUGUUAAGUCUUCCAGAGUUCCCUUGCCAAGAGCUUUCACUUGCAUCGAAUCCUUGGAAACUGCACUGUGUGUGGCUUGCCUUAGUUUGUGGAAGGUUCGAGUACUACAGCUUUCCGCUUUGCCUGAACACCUACUUGGUGUUGUAGUGGCAACAUUAUCUCCGGAGUGUCCUCAUGAUUAGACAUGCAUUGUAACUUUCAAGUAGUGUAACAGUAGUACUACUAGCAAACAACUAACCCAGAGCCAUCAUGUAAUUGGGCACUGUUCCCAAUAAUCUUUUGCUUUGUGUAUUUUAUUAAGGAACUCAUUCCUGCUUUUUCUUUUGUUCUUUCUUCGUGUUUGUAAACAUAGGGGAUUGUACUAGCCAGCAGCUGCAAUGAUUUACGUUGUGAAAAAGAAAACCUAUGUGGCAAAAAAAGUCAUUGUAUAAAGUCCCUAACGGUGCACACAAGCUGUAUAAAAUUUUGGGCAUUGAUGUGUGUAAUAAGUAUUAACAAAAUAAAAUGAUUAAAUUUGC